rnacentral:rRNA from 1 species
CCGUAGCCCAAGAGAUCGGGAUAACACCUGGAAACAGAUGCUAAUACCGGAUAACAACAGAUGAUGCCUAUCAACUGUUUAAAAGAUGGUUCUGCUAUCACUCUUGGAUGGACCUGCGGUGCAUUAGCUAGUUGGUAGGGUAACGGCUCACCAAGGUGAUGAUGCAUAGCCGACCUGAGAGGGUAAUCGGCCACAUUGGGACUGAGACACGGCCCAAACUCCUACGGGAGGCAGCAGCU